rnacentral:rRNA from 1 species
GGCGAACGGGUGAGUAACACGUUGGUGACCUGCCCCAGAGAGGGGAAUAACCAUUGGAAACGAUGGCUAAUACCCCGGAUGUCCUUAUCGUUAGAGGGUAAGGACUGAAGCUCCGGCGCUCUGGGAGGGGCCUGCGGCCCAUCAGCUAGUUGGUAGGGUAAUGGCCUACCAAGGCAGAGACGGGUAGGAGGCGUGAGAGCGUGACCCCCCACACUGGUACUGACACACGGACCAGAUACCUACGGGUAGCAGCAGCAAGGAAUAUUGCCCAAUGGACGAAAGUCUGAGGCAGCAACGCCGCGUGGAGGACGAAGGCCUUCGGGUUGUAAACUCCUUUUCUGGGGGAAGAGAAAGGACGGUACCCCAGGAAUAAGUCUCGGCUAACUACGUGCCAGCAGCCGCGGUAAAACGUAGGAGGCGAGCGUUAUCCGGAUUUACUGGGCGUAAAGCGCGUGCA